GUCCACGCCGUAAACUAUGGAUGCUAGCCGUCAGGUAGCUUGCUACUUGGUGGCGCAGCUAACGCAUUAAGCAUCCCGCCUGGGGAGUACGGCCGCAAGGUUAAAACUCAAAGGAAUUGACGGGGGCCCGCACAAGCGGUGGAGCAUGUGGUUUAAUUCGACGCAACGCGAAGAACCUUACCAGCUCUUGACAUUUACUGAUCGUUUCCAGAGAUGGAUUCAUCCCAGCAAUGGGGCAGUAGGACAGGUGCUGCAUGGCUGUCGU
rnacentral:rRNA from 1 species